CCGAAGUGGGGAAUUGCUUGAGCCCAGGAGUUCCAGACCAGCCUGGACAAAAUGGCAGAAACUGCAUCUCUACAAAAAAUACAAAAGUUACCUGGGCAUGAUGUUGUGUGCCUGUAGUCCCUGCUACUCAGGAGGCUGAGGUGGGAGGAUCGAUUGAGCCCAGGAGAGGGGGUUGCAGCGAACCAGGUGCCACUGCAAUCCAGCCUGGGUGACAGAGCCAGACUCUGUCUAAAAAAAAAAAAAAAAAAGAAAGAAAGAAAAGAAAAGUAGUAUUCUGAAUACAACUUCUAAAACACUAUAUUUACUUACAUUAUAUUAAACUUGUUUUACCAUGAUCAAAAUGGUAGGUGAAAGAUGCCAGAACUUUUCUAUCAGGUAAGUAGAGUAAGCCAUGUCUUGCCCAGGGUUAGAGAGCUUGGAAAAGAUCCCUCCUAAAUAAACCUGUAGGAUCACCUUUGGCUUUCUUCCAGCUUUUUUUGGUCAUCGCUUUACCUCCGCCCAUUUCCCAUCUGUCUAGCCCAUCUUUCCCCGCUGGGCUUUUUUUUUCUUUUUCUUUUUCUUUUUUUUUUUUUUUUUGAGACGGAGUUUUGCUCUUGUUACCCAGGCUGGAGUGCAAUGGCGCGAUCUCGGCUCACCGCAACCUCCGCCUCCUGGGUUCAGGCAAUUCUCCUGCCUCAGCCUCCUGAGUAGCUGGGACUACAGGCACGCGCCACCGUGCCCAGGUAAUUUUUUGUAUUUUUAGUAGGGACGGGGUUUCUCCAUGUUGACCAGGAUGGUCUCGAUCUCUUGACCUCGUGAUCCACCCGCCUCGGCCUCCCAAAGUGCUGGGAUUUCAGGUGUGAGCCACCGCGCCCGGCCCGCGCCCGGCCUUUCACUGGGCUUUUUUGCUAGCCUCUGCCUAGCCGCGGGUAUUAGUCUGGACUGCAGUCCCGCCCAUCUCCUGGGGCGUGACCACCUGUCCAGUCCCCGCCCCCGUCCAACAGGGGAGACCCGCCUCCUUUCCCGGACACCCCCCGCUCAGCGCCCUAGCGUGCGCGCGCGUCCCCGCUUGUCGCCGGGCUCCGCGUCGAGAGCGCGCUCUGUGCGGCUGCGGCCGCCAGGUUGUUGUGGUUGUGAGAAGGCGGCGGCGGCGGCGGCGGCUGCGGAGUAGCUGCGGGAUGAGACGCCCCAGCGGCUCAGGUGCUGCUCCGCGCCGGCUCUGGCAGGGAGCCUGGUGGGGUGGCGGAGGAGGAGGCCGUGCCGUGGCGGACCUCGCCGUGUCGCGCUGCCCGACGGAGUCUUGCUCUGUCACCCAGGCUGGAGUGCAGUGUGGCAAGAUCUCGGCUCACUGCAACCUGCCUCCCUGGUUCAAGCGAUUCUUCUGCCACAGCCUCCCAAGUACCUGGGACUACAGGCCGAAGUGCAGGGGCACAGUCUUGCCUCACUGCAACCUCUGCCUCCCAGGUGCAAGUGAUUCUCAAGCCUCAGCCUCCCAAAUGGCUGGGAUUACAGGCAACCACAUUAUUGUUGAAACAAGACUACAAAGAAGGAGAAAUGAUGUUGAAGUCAGCACUGGCUUUAGCUAUCAAAGUGCUAAAUAAGACCAUGGAUGUUAGUUAACUGUUUGCUGAGAAAGUGGAAAUUGCAACACUAACAAGAAAGAAUGAAAAGAUGGUAAUCAGAAGUUCUCAAACAAAAAGAAGUUGAACAGUUGAUCAAAAAACAUGAGGAAGAAGAAGCUAAAGCUGGGCCUGAGAAGAAAGAAAAAGAACAGAAAGAAAAGGAUAAAUAGACAAAAUCAGAGAUUCGGUUACUCAUUUGGGGCACCGUUUCUGUGUAAAAGCUGUCCUGCUCUUCCAAACUAAGAAGGCUUUGACUUUUUUUAACUGGUACAGUGGGAAACUAGGACAUUACAUACUGAAUUGGGUCUUUAUCAUUACUGUUUAAAUACUUUAUUGUAAUGAUGAGGGUCAUUUUCUGUGGACAUCUUAAUCUUCCACACACAUCCCCCUUUUUUGGAAUAAAAUUUGGAAAAUAGAAAUGAAGGAAUAAAUU
rnacentral:lncRNA from 13 species